UAGCUGCUCUCUCUCUCUCUCUCUCUCUCUCUCUCUAUCUGUGCCUUCAGCUCUCUCGCCCUGUCAGCCUCUCCUGUCUCUCCACAGCAUUAGCAGAAGUCACAACGACAAAAUGAAUCUUGCGAAAAGACUGAUCGGAGGCAUCAUUGAUGUUGUAAGCAACAUCGAUCCGGCUCAGUUUGUGCCAUCAUCACCUCCUCCUCAACGCAGACCUCUAAACUUCGCUGAGGCUCACGAGAAUGAUGAGGAGAAACAGUUUCGGAGAGUUUUCCAACAGCUGGCUGGAGAUGUGAGUCCAUAAUAUUGCUUAUGUAUGUAUUAUAUUCCUGAAUGCUCUC